rnacentral:rRNA from 1 species
CCCCUAGAUGUUCUGGGCCGCACGCGCGCUACACUGAACAGUUCAACAAGUCUUAACCUUGGCCGAUAGGUCUGGGUAAUCUUUGAACGCUGUUCGUGAUUGGGAUAGACCUUUGCAAUUAUGGGUCUUCAACGAGGAAUUCCUAGUAAACGCAAGUCAUCAGCUUGCAUUGAUUACGUCCCUGCCCUUUGUACACACCGCCCGUUGCACCUACCGAUUGAAUGGUCCGGUGAAAUCUCGGGACGGCGGCUUGGUCGCUUGCGUCCGACUGCUGAAACUUGAUUAAACCAUAUCAUUUAGAGGAAGGUGAAGUCGUANCA